UACGAAGGGGGCUAGCGUUGCUCGGAAUCACUGGGCGUAAAGGGCGCGUAGGCGGCCUGUUAAGUCGAACGUGAAAUCCCCGGGCUCAACCCGGGAACUGCGUCCGAUACUGGCAGGCUUGAAUCCGGGAGAGGGAUGCGGAAUUCCAGGUGUAGCGGUGAAAUGCGUAGAUAUCUGGAGGAACACCGGUGGCGAAGGCGGCAUCCUGGACCGGUAUUGACGCUGAUGCGCGA
rnacentral:rRNA from 1 species